AACGAACGCUGGCGGCAGGCCUAACACAUGCAAGUCGAACGCCCCGCAAGGGAGUGGCAGACGGGUGAGUAACACGUGGGAACAUACCCUUCGGUUCGGAAUAACUCAGGGAAACUUGAGCUAAGACCGGAUACGUCCGCGAGGAGAAAGAUUCAUCGCCGGAGGAUUGGCCCGCGUCCGAUUAGCUAGUUGGUGAGGUAACGGCUCACCAAGGCGACGAUCGGUAGCUGGUCUGAGAGGAUGAUCAGCCACAUUGGGACUGAGACACGGCCCAAACUCCUACGGGAGGCAGCAGUGGGGAAUAUUGGACAAUGGGCGAAAGCCUGAUCCAGCCAUGCCGCGUGAGUGAUGAAGGCCCUAGGGUUGUAAAGCUCUUUCGUCAGGGACGAUAAUGACGGUACUGAAGAAGAAGCCCCGCUAACUUCGUGCCAGCCGCCGCAGUAA
rnacentral:rRNA from 1 species